rnacentral:rRNA from 1 species
CAUGCAGGCGGUUACAUAAGUCAGGUGUGAAAUCCCCGCGCUUAACGUGGGCAUUGCAUUUGAAACUAUGUAGCUAGAGUUCUGUAGAGGGGGGUAGAAUUCCAGGUGUAGCGGUGAAAUGCGUAGAGAUCUGGAGGAACACCGAUUGCGAAGGCAGGUUACUAAGUCAUAACUGACGCUGAGGCACGAAAGUGUGGGGAUCAAACAGGAUUAGAUACCCGCGUA